rnacentral:misc_RNA from 1 species
UCGUAGGGCUUCGGUCCUGUCGAGAUAGCGUCCUUGCCUAUUUUUUGGAGUACCUUUUCGUUUCCUCGGCAGGCUUGCCUGCCACUGGGGACCCUUUAAACUCUUUGUAAAUACAGCAUCUGUCUGAAUAAACAAACAAAAUCA